rnacentral:rRNA from 1 species
UGGGAACGUGCCUUUUGGUUCGGAACAACCCAGGGAAACUUGGGCUAAUACCGGAUAAGCCCUUACGGGGAAAGAUUAUCGCCAAAAGAUCGGCCCGCGUCUGAUUAGCUAGUUGGUGGGGUAAUGGCCCACCAAGGCAUUGAUCGGUAGCCGGCCUGAGAGGGCACACGGCCACACUGGCACUGAAACACGGGCCAGACUCCUACGGGAGGCAG